UGUUUCAGCAGCCGCGGUAAUACGGAAGGUCCGGGCGUUAUCCGGAUUUAUUGGGUUUAAAGGGAGCGUAGGCCGGAGAUUAAGCGUGUUGUGAAAUGUAGACGCUCAACGUCUGCACUGCAGCGCGAACUGGUUUCCUUGAGUACGCACAAAGUGGGCGGAAUUCGUGGUGUAGCGGUGAAAUGCUUAGAUAUCACGAAGAACUCCGAUUGCGAAGGCAGCUCACUGGAGCGCAACUGACGCUGAAGCUCGAAAGUGCGGGUAUCGAACAGGAUUAGAUACCCUGGUAGUCCGCACGGUAAACGAUGGAUGCCCGCUGUUGGUCUGAAUAGGUCAGCGGCCAAGCGAAAGCAUUAAGCAUCCCACCUGGGGAGUACGCCGGCAACGGUGAAACUCAAAGGAAUUGACGGGGGCCCGCACAAGCGGAGGAACAUGUGGUUUAAUUCGAUGAUACGCGAGGAACCUUACCCGGGCUUGAAUUGCAGAGGAAGGAUUUGGAGACAAUGACGCCCUUCGGGGUCUCUGUGAAGGUGCUGCAUGGUUGUCGUCAGCUCGUGCCGUGAGGUGUCGGCUUAAGUGCCAUAACGAGCGCAACCCCUCUCCUUAGUUGCCAUCAGGUCAGGCUGGGCACUCUGGGGACACUGCCACCGUAAGGUGUGAGGAAGGUGGGGAUGACGUCAAAUCAGCACGGCCCUUACGUCCGGGGCUACACACGUGUUACAAUGGCAGGUACAGAGAGAUGGUGUUCUGCAAAGCGCAUCUAAUCCUUAAAGCCUGUCUCAGUUCGGACUGGGGUCUGCAACCCGACCCCACGAAGUUGGAUUCGCUAGUAAUCGCGCAUCAGCCAUGGCGCGGUGAAUACGUUCCCGGGCCUUGUACACACCGCCCGUCAAAC
rnacentral:rRNA from 1 species